CAGUUGAAAACAGACCAACACUGAAAAUUAAACGGAAAACAGCCUUGGAUGUAAUACCCGCAGACUGGGCAGACGAGGCUGAGUUCAAGGGCCACCGUGUGAUCACUGUGGAGUUGAAAAGAAGAUCGAGAACCUUUCAGAAAAUCAAACGCGAAUUUGAACAAUCCCUGGGGAAACUUUACCAACAGUCUGGGUAUUCAAUUGAAGAGAUUAUCCACAUUCAAAACCCUACACUUUGGAAAGUGUACACAACAAAAAAGACGGAGAUGGAAAAUUCCAACAAGGGACCCCUUAAGGAAUCACCGGUGGAAAGGUCUGUGUAUCACGGGACAACUCUCGAGACCUGCGAGAGCAUCAACACGAAUGGGUUCAACAGAAGCUAUUGUGG